UCGAUGAAGAACGCAGCUAGCUGCGAUAAAUAGUGCGAAUUGCAGACACAUUGAGCACUAAGAAUUCGAACGCGCAUUGCGCCAUCGGGUUCAUUCCCGUUGGCACGUCUGGCUGAGGGUC
rnacentral:rRNA from 2 species